UUUUUUUUCCAUGUACAGAAUAAUCUCAGGAAUGCAAAAACUUUUGACAGUUUGAUACACAUUUACAUCUAGGGUGUAUUCUCUCCUCACCUCUCCGCGCCCGGUGUUCCUGGAACAGGUUCCGGAUCCAGCACGAGCCUGAUCAGGAUGAACUGCUUACUGAAGAUGAAUGAGGUGCAACACCGCUAUUCGAUUGUGUUCAGUGCCGCUACUUUUUAAUCCGAGUAGUGUGAUGAACUGUUUUGGCAUGGCACGCAUGAUUUUUCGUUUCUUGGUGUCAGCUGGCUAGUUAGAGAUACUCGAGAUAGACGAUCAUCUCCGAGUUAUUUUCAUCCUUUCCUUUUUAUUUUAUUUAUUUAUUUUUUUAUUUAUUCUGCCAUGUUUCAACGUCAGCUUUCCACCUGACCUGCUCAGCACGGGGUUCAGUCUGAUGGGCUGUAUCUGGAGGUCGCUCACAUUUCUGAUGCCGCAUCGAAGGGACGUUCAUAAAUACAGCGACUCGCAGUGAGAAAGUGACGCCGGAGACCGUUCACUUCCAGUGAAAGAUUGCGAAUUCCGCUGACCUGAGCGAAGGCGACCAUUGGUGACCUAGAUGUGGGCGUGUCCAGCGAUGCGAAAAAGUUGCAACGUUUUAUGCAAAUUUGGAGCAACUCGGUGCAGGAGGAACCAUGUUGUCUACGGGUCCGAAUUGUUUCGCGGACCCAGACUGCGGAUAAAUGUCAAAGAGCACACGCUGCUUCUCCGUCAUCUCGUGGGAUACAACGUAUAUACGCACUCGUGAAUUUUAUAUACAAAAUUGACUUGUCAAAAGUGGAAUGCUAGUUGUGCCACCUACUGAUAAAUGUUACUAUGGCAACCAGUAGUAUGAACACCUACAGGUGACUUUAUAGUACAGGGACUGGCAACCCGCAGCCAUAAAAUCGCUAUACGUCUGAGCGUACCUUUACACUCCUGAGAUAAAGUAUGUCCAAUUAAGAAGGCAGUGUCAAGACGGCUGUCCUUUAAGAUUCUUAAAUAAUGGACAAAUCUGAACGCAGCAUCAGAUUCUUCUACAUGAUGAUUGUGUUCACCAAAUGAAACGUUCCACGAACAAUAAAAAAGCGGACGGGAAUGCUGCUCGCAUACAAGAUGGUGGUGAUAUUGAAAACCAUGACCACGGCAGAAGUAAUUAUUGUGAUCUGGAUAUUUCAUAUUUGCACAUCUACUUGACAGUGAUCAAUGAUAAUUCAUUGAUAAUGAAGGUUAGGUUUGAGGGGGUCCGGGUCACUCCUCAUCCAAAUUCUUGAGAAUGAGGUUCUAGUCAUCUUUUUAUUUCUGGUAUCCAGCCCAAAAAGCUCCGAUAUAUACUUCCCAGUGAUAUGUCGGGUUGUGAUUUAAAAAAAAUAUUUAAAAAUAGAAACAGCCAGCCUUAUACAGCAACAUGUGCCAGUAAAAACGAUAGGCACAUACAGAGUGAAUAGGAAUAUUAACGAAUACAGUUUCACUAAAAGAUUUCAGAAAUCAUGGAAAACUUGGCAGGAAUUCAUACUAAAAUCAGUCUUGGACGGACUCCGCGUUUCUGCUCUUUAAGACAGAACGCAGGCGUCUGGAUCUCUUACAUUUCUGGCCUCAUUGCUAGUCUUCAGUUCACUGCUCCCCAUCUUCUUGCAAAACUGCAUCUAAUGGCGCAUCAGGAGUUGAAGAUCCAGGUGAGAAAUCUGAUGGUGCAUCUUCAUAGCCACUGCUCUCGUCAUAAUCUUCGCCAUCCUGAGGGUUUUGGCUGCUUGCCUCCGGCGUAGCCUGCUCAGAACCAACCACACGUGCUUCUUUGACCUCUUCUCCGUCCACCGGAGUUCCUUCGGCGGCAUCGGGUUUGAUAGACCGUGCUAUUUCUGUUCUUGAAAAGCAGAUAUGCUGUAGAAGCAAGAUUGGCGAAAGCGUUUGUAGGGCCUGUCGGUUGUGAAGCCGUGUCUACUGGUUUCGGUGCCUCUUCAGAUACGGGUCCAUCCACUUCGACGGCAGGAUUAUCGGCUUCUUUCUGGUCUUGUGUUAUACUUUCAGCUGAAACUGAAAUUUUCUCCUGGUGACAGAAAAGAAAAGUGAUGAUCGAAAAGAAAAUCCAGCACACAGUAGUUACACAAUGAAGCUUAUACUAACGUUCUAGCCGGACUGCGGCCUUUAAUAUUCUACGGGAUAAUUCAAUAAUUUAGAUAAACUACUGAAGGCUAAGAGUGACGAGCAAACUUGCUCCUUGUAGUGUAAAAUAUUAAAAAUGUUUGUUCAUUAAACAUUCAACAAAAAAGAUUAAAAACACAUACACCUCAGCUUUGUCCUGUGGGUGUGGCUUCAUUGUACCGAGCUUGAGUCAAACAGUACUGAGUGUAUUGAAAGGAUUGUCGGUAUGACUAUCAGACUUAUUUUGAUUUUGAAGCGUUAAGUCUGUAUUAUCCAAAUUAAGUUAUUCACUGAAUGAGACUGGAGCGUAUCCUGUUUCAGUAAGUGCAAUCUUUAGGCUAUACAAGACAGACCACACGCAGCAAUCUUUAGGGCGUCCAUCAGGGCUGCACAAUUAAUCGAAUAUCGAUCUCCAUGAUGAUUCUGACCGCCCACGAUCACAUGAUCACGAUCGACUGCGAUAUUGACGUUUCCAAGUCCUCAUGGAAAACUCCGCUGCAGAUCAAAUCGAGCCCUUCCUAAACUCACAGCCAAUCGCCAUAGAGCGGCACGGGGAUGACGUCACUUUAUAACGCCGAAACACGGAAACGAGUUAUCGCACUGCCAGCUCUGCUUCGUACUCCAGCGCGUGCGCGAGGGGAAACCAUGACGCUAACAAGCUGCUAAACGGGAUUACAGACGUUGUCUAAACGUCAUCACGCCGAACGGGAAAAAGUCUUUGCAGAUAAACUGGUUCAGGUUUACUGUGCACAAUCCCCCCCCCC
ensembl:lncRNA